rnacentral:misc_RNA from 1 species
GGCGAGGAGGAGCCUACCUCAGCAAGCACUGGCGGCGCGCGGCAACGUUGGCGUAAAUUGGACUUGCUAUACGACACGCAAAUGUAGCACUUAUAAAUGAUGUGUACUAAGGCUAAUUAUGCGCAAAAACUCAGAAAUAUAAUUUAGACAAAUUUAAAACACGUCCGCUUUCGAAUGAAGUAAAACUAUGACUGUAUGAUGUGUAUGAUGUAUAUGAAUUAUCAUGGCUAUCAAAACUUUCCCUCUUCUUCUUGCCGUGUUGGCAGUUCUGUUGGUGGCGCAGACAGUCUCGAGUGAGGAAGAAUUCAAUGAGACAGGUCUUCUUUUUAUUGAAAAUCCGGACACAAACCCAGAAAUAAUAAGUCCGGCGCGCGCUCUCCUGGACUCUCCCACCAGUCGUCGUCGCGUCUGCACCGCCGCCAUGUGUCAGCGCGUGUGUCGAGCGCUUUACUACAGAUUUGGUCGCUGCAACAGAAAUCGUGUCUGCGUGUGCUCUAACUUUUAAAAACUCAAUAUUUUUAAUGUAAAUACACAUACUAUUUAUAAAAUAAAUUGAAAUACGAACUACAAAAUAUUAUUGUUCAUAUCUUUAAAAUUCUUUUCCUGCUUUCUUUACAAAUUUUAUACUGAAACGUUUUGUUCAUUAUUCUUCAUGUUUUAUCGAUAAAAUAACUUGAGGGGCUUUGAGCAUGGAUUAAAAUAUUACGAAAAUUUAAGAAUAAUUAGUAGUUUAACAUGUAUCAAUAAAUGGAACAAAGUCUUCUGGGUCUUUGUAAAAAAUGGGCGUUCCACAGUGCUAGAAAUUCUAGGUUCUUCUCUAUUUUUAACGUAUAUAAAUGGUACACUAUUUUGUAAAAGACAUUUAAACACUAAUUUCUUAGAGUUCAGUGGAAUUCCCAUUGGUCAUGCUUUUGUGGCUAGGAUAUUU